UGCAGUCGAGCGAACGGAUAAGGAGCUUGCUCCUUUGAAGUUAGCGGCGGACGGGUGAGUAACACGUGGGUAACCUACCUAUAAGACUGGAAUAACUUCGGGAAACCGGAGCUAAUGCCGGAUAACAUUUGGAACCGCAUGGUUCUAAAGUAAAAGAUGGUUUUGCUAUCACUUAUAGAUGGACCCGCGCCGUAUUAGCUAGUUGGUAAGGUAACGGCUUACCAAGGCAACGAUACGUAGCCGACCUGAGAGGGUGAUCGGCCACACUGGAACUGAGACACGGUCCAGACUCCUACGGGAGGCAGCAGUAGGGAAUCUUCCGCAAUGGACGAAAGUCUGACGGAGCAACGCCGCGUGAGUGAUGAAGGUUUUCGGAUCGUAAAACUCUGUUAUUAGGGAAGAACAAAUGUGUAAGUAACUGUGCACAUCUUGACGGUACCUAAUCAGAAAGCCACGGCUAACUACGUGCCAGCAGCCGCGGUAAUACGUAGGUGGCAAGCGUUAUCCGGAAUUAUUGGGCGUAAAGCGCGCGUAGGCGGUUUCUUAAGUCUGAUGUGAAAGCCCACGGCUCAACCGUGGAGGGUCAUUGGAAACUGGGAAACUUGAGUACAGAAGAGGAAAGUGGAAUUCCAUGUGUAGCGGUGAAAUGCGCAGAGAUAUGGAGGAACACCAGUGGCGAAGGCGACUUUCUGGUCUGUAACUGACGCUGAUGUGCGAAAGCGUGGGGAUCAAACAGGAUUAGAUA
rnacentral:rRNA from 1 species